GUCAAUCAUGAGAAUUCUAUCCCUUCAGCUAGUGGUUGGUUUAGGAAAGGGCAUUUCUGGUCCCUUUGGAGGAAGUCAGCUGGGGAGCCUCUGAAAAAGGUUUCCUUCUCCUACACGAGAGACACAGACAUUGAUGUUCUCUCUCCUUCCUUGGAAAAUUGCUGCAUCUUAAUGUGCCUUUGAAACCACUGCAAACGUAUUGCACCAGCCGGAGGAGGAAGCCAACCAUGAAAGAAGACAGAGCUAGCAGAAUCACUCAGGAGUAAAAUGAGGCCUGAAGUACCGUGCCUGGACCAUACCCUACUUGAAGCCUUCUUGUUCUGGGAGUUCAUCUGAUUUACAAGAAGUCACUGGCACGGCUGGAAUCUCUGGACCUUGACCUCCAUUGCAGACUGCUUAGUGCAUGGUAGAACGGCAAACUGGGAAACAAUCUGAGCAGACAGAAUGAAAGACACUGGAGAAGGUGAACCAUGCUCAGAUGUCAAUUCCAUUCCCAAGCCAUGGCUCCUGGUUUGGUGAGCUGAGCUUCUGCUAGACUUUAGCCUCCCUCUUGUCCCUCCGCACCAGUGCACCUGCAGCCCCGGAUCACUCCUCCUACCCUGGGGAGGAAUGAAUAAGGAGACUGAGAGCGGGUGCAAGCGUUCUCCUCAAGCUUGCUCGUCCUGAGAAAGAAAAUAGGGAAUAAGUGUUCUCUACUUACAGUUGUUCUAGCCCCUGGAUCCAGCAACAUAUGAAGCCAGCUGCACUCCUGAAUUUCCCAGUGGUGAUCAAAUACAUUUUCUGCCUUUGUUUAA